rnacentral:lncRNA from 10 species
CACAUAUGGACUCUGGAGCUCAUGUUCUAAAGGAUGUUCUUUCUCUAUGUAAGGAGAACAGUACCUUUUCUGACUACUCUGAAAUGAAUCAAGAACAAAUCUGUGUGGAAUUUUGGACCAUAAUCAGGAACAAGAAUCUCGGGAAUCCUUGGAAAUAAAAAACCCAUAUAUUUUCCAGCACUCCAUCCUCACUGUCAAAACUGUCAAGAACAUAAAGGGUCUGAGAUUGUGCCCUACUUGCAAGGCAACAAGUUAACCUGGCAUAGUUUCAUGUAUGCUGGUAGAAGCUAUGAGGCUCCUGAUUCAGAGAAGGAAGCACUGCAUUAGCGAGUCCUGAAGAUCCUUUCCAGCUCUUUGAUUAUAUGACAUUCUGACUAGCACAAAGAGGCACACCUGCAAUCCUACUGAGAGUUCCAUGGAUCAUUAAUGAUUAUUCAUGGUGAAGGAAGCAGAGGUAAUGUAGACUCUGAAAGCUGAUACUUCUCAUUGUAGAAGUACACUCUUGUGUUACAGUGUUUUUGUACAUGAGAAAUUCCACCUGCCAGCCCUUGAAGGUCUCUGAGCACAAGGGAUUAACUCAGUGCCCUUUAAGUUAAAAUACGUCCUGCAAACCCAG